rnacentral:lncRNA from 1 species
GACACUUUGAAGAAAUAGAAAAUGAUUUUUAAAAGAUUGCUUUAGAUAAAUAGAACUUGAGCUAGCAAAAGUGGCCCUUUCCAGACGUCCAGCCAGGAAACCCCAGGUGCAAGUGAAUCAGCAGACAUGUUGUCUCAUCUGAGACGGUACAAGAUCCGUGUGUCCACACACAGCCGGUCGUGGCUGAGUUCGUGGCUAUGCCUUCCUUCAGAUGUGGCCGGGCUCAGGCUGAUUCAGGGAGAAACACUGCUUCUCAUUGAGUCACAAGGCCGUCCUGGAGCUGUGCUGGACUUUGCUUGGGUCGGAUCAGCUAAUCCUGGGUCACAGAGUGCAUGCCUGAGACAGAAUCAAAGACAGUGAGUCAUCUGAGGGCCAAAGCUGGGAGCAGGAAGCCAGGACCACUCUGCGGCCUCUCAACUUGGAGAGUACUGUACCUUCUUGUGUGAUCUUGGGAAAGUGGC